rnacentral:lncRNA from 1 species
GUGACAAUGAAGACUGAGGUGUCUGCUUUGCAGUUUUUUUUUUUCUUUUCUUGUCUUUUUUUUUUUUUUUCCUAAUCAUGUGGACAUCUCUGAGAAUGAGGGGACUGGGUGACUUUGCAGUGUCUGCUUUCUAAGUUUCAAAGUGACUUUCCAGGCAAGCUGCGCAUAUCUUGGGAUCUUCACAGCACAGUGGCUGGGAAGGCAGGCGGACCCGUCUAUCAGCUUCUCCCUGGUGGGAUUCUUGCGGGGGCAGGGAUCGAGUCAAACCUUGGAAAUGACGUCAUUCUGAACUCAUCUGCCUUUAUCCAGAAGACUACCAAAGCAAACCAGAGGACCAGAGAACAGCAGCUGCUCUGGACAAAGAGGGGAGGACACCCACACCCACAUACCAAGUUCUGGUUGACUUCUACAGCAGAAGAAGCAGGAGACACAAGAAGAAGUCUCCGAUUUGACGGUCAGGAUCCCGGAGAAGACUCUCCAGCCACAGGGCUGAUCAUGGUGGCUUCUCUCCAGAUGGGAAUGCCUGUGUAUCACAGACAUACCUCGUGCCUGUAGAGGUCAGAAGAUAGUGUCUUCUGGGACUGAUGGUAUCUGACCCCCUGGGACUAGAGGUACAGAUAUUGUGAGACACCAUGUGGGUGCUAGAAACUGAGCCAGACAAGAGCUCCCAUGGUUUCAGUCCGUUCUCCUGCCUUCUAGAGAUGGAGAAUUAGUGAGAGAAGACUCCCUUGGCACAGGCAUGCCGUCCUAAGACUCAGAGGGACUGAAAUAUAAGAAGAUCGAUGCCAGAUGUUGUUGUGAUGACAACCUGUUGGGUUGAAGGACCCCAGGAAGACACAGUCCAGAUUCACAGGGACAGAGCCACUCACCUAUUGUCACAUGCAGCACAGAAUAAUGCAGAGGCAUGGCAUCAUAACAAUUCCUGAAUGGUGCUUCUCAGAAGAUGGUACUUCUUGGGGUCUGGUACCUGGACUAGUGAGGCUUCUCAGGGGAUGGGACCCCAACCCAGAAUGACAACAUCACCUGAUAACUUCAUCUUCAUCAUUAUCAUCAUCAUCAUCAUUGUUGUUAUUCCUUUUGUUUUGUUUUGAGAUUGUAAUAAAAUUAUAUCAUUUCUCCAUUG